UACGUAGGGUGCGAGCGUUGUCCGGAAUUAUUGGGCGUAAAGGGCUCGUAGGCGGUUUGUCACGUCGGGAGUGAAAACUCAGGGCUCAACCCUGAGCCUGCUUCCGAUACGGGCAGACUAGAGGUAUGCAGGGGAGAACGGAAUUCCUGGUGUAGCGGUGAAAUGCGCAGAUAUCAGGAGGAACACCGGUGGCGAAGGCGGGUCUCUGGGCCGAUACUGACGCUGAGACGCGAAAGCGUGGGGAGCGAACAGG
rnacentral:rRNA from 1 species